rnacentral:rRNA from 1 species
UGAGGAAUUUUGCGCAAUGGGCGAAAGCCUGACGCAGCGACGCCGCGUGGAGGAAGACGGCCUUCGGGUUGUAAACUCCUGUCAGGGGUGAAGAAACUUCGCAAGAAGCUGACGGUAACCCCAGAGGAAGCCCCGGCUAACUACGUGCCAGCAGCCGCGGUAAUACGUAGGGGGCAAGCGUUGCUCGGGAUUACUGGGCGUAAAGGGGGUGUAGGUGGCUGAUUAAGUUAAGGAUGAAAUCCCGAGGCGCAACUUCGGAA